GGGAACUCUGAGCCUGCGUAGUUGGAGCCUGGGCCCGCCCCGUCCGGGCUCGAGCCGUGGGUCUGGGGUCUUCGGUUAGGGGGCGGCGGGCCUUUUUAAAAAAAUCCCAUGAAUCCUCGUGGCCUUCCUCACUCUCCACACAGCUCUGGACUAUUGUCAUAAGUGUUGCAAGCACAGGAUGCAUGAUCCUCUGGUAUUUUCAGAGCCCCAAGAAGAACUGAAUCAGCGGUUUUGUCAAGGUCAGUUUGCUGUGAGACACAGCAAAAAAACAAUUCAAGGUUGUUGGUGGCAUUCACUGAGCAGCUACAGACAGUGGAGCGCCGCUGCUGGGCCUGAGACAUGAGCACUGACUGGUGGGAUGACAUCAUAAUGCAGGCUUGGGGUGAUGAACGGUGGCUGCAGAACUUUUGGAUGCACAAAAAGUGUGCUAAGCUCACUUCAGCCCUCCAGCACAAAGACGCUAGAAUGAGAGCUGCACUGACAGUGGAGAAGCAGAGAAGUGGAGUGGAGAUCGCACUGUGGAAACUUGCAACACUGGAUUGCUACCAGUCAGUGGGAAAUAAUUUUGUAGUUGGAAAAUCCAUUGGGGGGGCACUGUAAUGCAUAUGUGCAGGACUAUUUAUUAUCUGCUACACAGGACUGUGACUCAAGGCAAUGCUCAGGACACAUUGGAUGGAUUUGCGGCAAUGAGGUUCCCAAAACUGUGGUGGAGCGAUAGACGGCAUGUAUAUCCGUAUUUUGGUGCCAGCCCACCUUGCCAUAGAGUACAUCAACAGAAAGGGCUACUUUUCUAUGGUUAUGCAGCGUUGCUGGAUCACCAGGGAUGUUUCACCAACAUCACUGCUGGCUGGUCAGGGAAGGUGUAUGACGCUUGCAUGUUUAAGAGCCCAGGACUGUUCAGAAACUUUCCUUCCUGACCGGCAGAUUACCAUUGGCAAUGUUGAAAUACCAGUAGUGACUCUAAGGGACCCAGCCUACCCCAUGCUUUCCUGGCUCAAGAACAUGUACAUCAGCCUCCCUGACAGCACCAAGGAAAGAUUCAAAACCUGGCUCAGCAGGUGCAGAAUGACUGCUGAAUGUGCUUUUGGUAGAUUGAAGGGAUGCUGGUUUGUUUGCAAGAUUGGAUCUCAGUGAAAAAAUAUCCCAAUGCUUACAGCUGCCUGCUGUAUCCUGCAUAAUAUCUGUGAAACAAAGUGGGGAAUGUUGCUGCCAGGAUGGAGGUGGGGCAGCUGUCUGCAGGGUUUCAACAGCCAGACACAAGGGCUAUUAGAAGAGCUUAACAUGGAGCUAUACGGUUCAUGGAGGUUUUGAAAGAGCACUUUAAAAGCAAGCCACAGUAUGUCGUUGUGAUGUACUGUGCUCUAUCUGGCCCUGCUGUUUUGGGGCCAGACAGGAAUUGUGUGAUGCUUGGCGUAUAUCUAUGAACAUAACACUGUCAAUGCAGCUAUUAGUUUUGCGGUGCUUGCAGUCCAUUUAUGAUUAUUACACUGUGUAUGUCACUGGUUCUGUGAGUUGUGUCAAUAACACAUAAGUUGCACAAGCACCUGUGAGAGAUAAUUUAGUAGUGAUACUUGGUCCUGCCACAGAGCAACAGGCUGCCACAGAGCAAUAGGCUGGACUUGACUUCUCGAGGUCCCUUCCAGCCCUACAUUUCUACGAUUUUGUGACAUGCUGUGAAUUAAUAAAGAUGAAUUACUUUCCAAAGAAUAGAAUUUUUUGAGAAACAAAACCAGGGCAAAGAAAAAUCUGUGUGAUUUAAACACAAACACAUUAAAAACUUAAUAAAUUAAUGGAACAGAAUUUUAACAAGGGGAAAGAACAUUCAUGUCCAUUUUAGCUGCACAUACAGGAACCGUGGCUUUCACAAGUCAGCGUAUGUGAAGCUGUGGUUGUCCUUACUGUCCCCUGGGGCAGAGUGGUAGGGGAGGGAGCCCCUGAUGCAACAUGGAAUGCUGAGGUGCUGAGGAGGUGUAUCGAGAUGUUUAAUGGAGUUUUCCACAGACUGCAAAGGGAGGCGAGCCCAUGACUGUAGAUUCACAAGAGUCUGAAGUAUCUGUAUUUGCUGAUGGAGAAGCCCGGUUAUGUCCUCAUGCAUUUCCCACUCCUUUUCCUGAUGGUGCUCCUGGGCCUUUCUACUGUCAGCUCUUUCCUUCUCCACACAGUCUGCAACAUUCAUCCUCUAGGCCCCCUGCUCACAGUCCGAUGCAGCACUGGCUUGCAGGAUCUCAUUGAAUAUGUCAUCCUGAGUCCUCUUCUUUGUCCUCCUUAUCUUGCUCAGGUGUUGCACAGCUGUGGAAGGAGAACUCUUCAAGGCUGCAACGGCAGCAGCUACAGACAAAAUACACAGAGGAACCAUUGUCAGUAUAGUCAAAAUGGAAAGCAAAAGUAAAGAUUCAAAACUCCCUUCCCUUGCUUCCUUCAAGUUUUAAACAAUACAGGCUUAUUGACACUUCUGCUUUGGUGUGCUUGUUCAUGGCACAACUCACAGUUCCAGCCAUGGUGAGAACGGCCCAGCAGGGUAAGGGAAAUGAGGAAGAAAUUGCUUGGUCGCAUGAAAAUGAAUAUAUGACACUGAAUACUGGCACCAUUUUCCACAGGAAGUAGUGAUUUUAACUGAUAUAUCACUCCUGAGGGAGACAAGAGCACAGUUGCUGCUGUUGUCCCAAAGCCACCCGGGCCCAUAUGCUGCUAGCCUGUGUACUGCUAACAGACAUGGGAAAGUGCCCUACCGCAGAGGAAGAAAUAAGGCUGUCAUCCCUUGAAUCCUUCAGGAGAAAAUUGCAGAGUAUCUCCAUGUAAGUUUCAUUGAGAUCUCUGGAAGAUUCAAGGGACAUCCUUGUGUACAUAAACAAACUGCACCACAAGCCCUGCUUGCCUAACUCUAGAGGGGAAUGAAAAGCAGAUAACAACGCUACCUCUGUGUUGUGACAGUGUGUACCCCCAACACACCCCUUGCACACUACUGUAAUAAUCUUUGUAUAAAGGUAUGCCUUGCGAGGUAUCAUUUGAAAACUCAAUUUGUUGGUCAAUAUAUUCUGAUAAAGAACAUACGGUGACAUGGUAUGCAAAGUUAUAAGAUUCCACUUUAUGGUGUUGUUAGCACACGUUCCAAACCACAGUGCUGCCCAGACAGAAGCUGACAAACAAGACUGUCUCAAACGAAAGAAUGUGUGCUGUGCUUAAUUUUCAUUUAAGCAGCAAACAGAGUCAUCAAGCUCAAGGUGGGAAAACCAGCAGGAGAUAUCCUCCAUUGUAGACUUUUUGUCUCCUGAAACUCAGCUGGAAGAGAGGACUGACACUAUGAAAAUGAGGGACUAACCCCCCAAGACACCUCUCCUCCUUUUCCUCUCACUCUCUGUCCAUUGAUUGCACCAGAAGGAACAGAGGACGCAACCAUUACACAGAAGAAGGGGUCCUGGCCUAGAAGUUCGGACAGUAAAACUGUUGAGACUAUGUGAUGAGAGAAACUUUGCUUUGAAUUUAACAUAGAUUGUUAUGUUAGGCAUGAGUUGCAUUUUAUCUUUAUUUCUCUUGUAACCAUUUCUAGCUUUUUUGCCUUAUUACUUGUAUUCACUUAAAAUCUCUCUGUGGUUAAUAAACUUGAUUUAUUGUUUUAUGUAA